UUGUAAUGUUUAGUGAGAGCAUAACACCCCAAGAGAGGGAAGCAAUAUUUAAGCUAACACCAUCCCUACACCAAUAUUUUUGGAGACUCUACUUUAGAAGGUUAAUCUAUGACUUUUUUGAAAGGCUAUUAGUGCUGCCUUUCUCUGCAUUCCUCUUAUUAACUUGCCUUCCCUCCCUCAUCCCAGUUCAACCCUCCCUCUUCCAUCCUUUUCUUUGUUUUAUUUAUACCAGUGAAUUCUAUCUUGCAUCCCUUGAAAACCUCUUGUUUCCAUGACUCCUUACUAACUUCCUGAUGCCUGUGGGUAUUCCAUAUGAGACAAUAUAUCUGAAGACUCAAAGCUGACGUCAACCAAUGAGAAGUAAACAUGCAUCCUUUUGGUUCUGGGAUACCUUCUUCAGAGUCAUCCUUUCCAUUCCCAUUCCUUUAACUUUGAAGUUCAUAAUUUUAUUUUUAUUAAUACUUUAAUAGUAUUAAAUUAUGCAAAUAUAUGAGUUUGAUUGGCAUUCAUUGGCUGAUUGAUAUUGUCACUUUUUAGAUAUUUCCAAUAAUAAUCAGUUAAAUGUUCAAUACCUGGAAUUCCAAGAGCAAACUUCAAUAAAAUUGUUGAAUACCAGUAUACACAGUUAGUUGUUUAUUUUGCUUCCACAUUACAAACCUAUUGCAGCUUACUGAUUUUUGAUACAUUCACCAAUGCCAAAUUUUCAAAGUAGAUAUGAAAGUAUAAUAAUCAAUGAAUUUUUCCCCAAACCCUAUUCUAUUAAUGACAGCAUUAUAGUUCUCCAAAAAAUUCAGAAAAUUUAUUAACACAAUGAAGGAGUUGAUAUCUGGCAAUAACAGGAGCUGCUUCUUUAAUUUCAGAAGUCAGAUAAUUUUAAAUAAGUUGUAUUAUCUAUGAUAUUAUUUUUGUAGCAACACAUUCUGAAUAGUAAUUUUAUUAUAAGAAGAAAAAUACAAGAAGAGAGUAAAUAAGUUCCACUCUUAUAAUUUGAGAAAUAAAUUGAUAGAUAAAUGAAAUAUAUGAGUACCUGUUUUCAUUUGUGUACACUUACAUGUGUGUAUAAGGGGCUAGUAACUGCUGCACAAACCACUUAGACAACAAUCUCAGUCAAACAGGUAUGGUUUAUUCAAAGCACACCCAGGAGCUGAACUGUGACACCCAGCUACAAUCCUAUAAAGCAUUUAAGCCUGAAAUCCACAAACAUCUGUGACAAGCUAUUCCACCAAUCAGGAUUUAGGAAUAGAAUAUUUCCUUAGGAACAUGUCGUUAAACAUUUAUCCUGUUCUCUUUGGUUGGGGGUAUUAAACAGUAGCUGGGGACUUACCUUGCAUGUCUCACCUUGCCAACCAAGAUUUAUAUGGUCCUUUUUGUCGAGUAGGAUGUCAAUUCCCAGAGAAGUCUUGGGAAUUUAAACUUUAUUCCACCCCUACUCAAAAUGAAAGCUUUAUUCCCAAUGGCUUCCUCUAUUGGCAUAGCUGUCUUCCCUAUGUUGGGGUCCAUCUCAGGAGCAGCUUAUAAAGGCUAGAAAUUAUUAAAAAAAACAUAUACAUAGAUGUGGGAAAUGCUGCUGGGUGGUUGGUUUUGUUUCAAGCUUAUUGUGACUAACUACACAAAGCAGUUCUAACUGAUUUUAUUGUAAUUGGUUUCCAGGAACAUCCAAUCACUGAAUAUAAUAGAAUAUGCAAUCAACUAGGGCAUAAGAAAGUUUCCUAGUAACAGUAUAUAAGAAACCUUCCUUGUAACAUUAGUAACAGCUCAAAAUGCCUGGCUAGACAGGCACCAGUUUCCCAUGCCUUAACAGAGUAUAAAUGUAGCCGUGUGUGUACAUAUAUGUGGGGUCCAAAGGACAACUCCUGGGGUUAUUUCUCAUGUACUAUGUCCCUCCUUUGAGACAGAGUCUCUUGUAAAUGUCACUUUUAUUUCCUCAGUUGAAGUGAUGAGAUAAGAGCCAGACUCAAGCUGUAGGAAUAUGUGGCUUGGGAUAAGCCUAGAGAGUUUCUUUCUCUGUUAUAAAUAUUUAUAGGCUAUACCUGGAAGCUGGAAACAAACAACUCGCCCCCCCCCCCAUCUCCCUGGUUACUGAAAUAUAGGCCCCAACACAGCUAUAAAAUUUUUUGACCUACAAUCUUUCUUGCCUGCAAAAUAUAUUAGUUCAAUGGUGGCACCAAACUUGUGAGAGUAUCCAACCAAUGUCUAAUUUGACUCAAGCACAAUUCAUGAGAAGGAACCUCAGCCUGACACUGCUUUUGUAACCAAGUACCAAAGACCAAAUAGCCCAGAGACCUAGGGUAAAAUUAAACUUUACUGGUCU
rnacentral:lncRNA from 1 species